GGUGUAGUCUUCAGUUUCCUGACAAUCGAUCUGCUGCUGCUGUAGGCUGAAACCCUUCCUCUGACUUUCUCAAACUUUUUACCUCGAUGAAAGUCGCAAACCGGGCUGCAUUCAACUCUCUCUACUAGCCUACAGCCAUAUCUGUCCAGUGAUACAUUUGUUUAGUCUUGUUUUCUUGCAGAAGUAAGCAUCCCAACAUGCUGUAGGAAGCGAGUCAUUCUCUGAAUCUAAUUGUCUAGCCCAGACUCGCUGGCGUUUUGUGGUGCACAGCUGACCUCAAGCACUCGUAUCAAGGGUUCAUCCCAAAACCACUCAAGCCUGAACCUCAAGACGCUACAUCUGAAAGCCACUGACUCCCCUCUCGCUGAAAAGAUAGCAUGGCCAACAAUACAGGAGCCUUGGUCCCAUGCGAUAACAAACAGUGCAAUGGACACGGCCAUUGUUUUCUACUGAAUAAUGUCAUCAGCUGUGAGUGUCGGCUGGGCUAUGAUGGGAACUUCUGCCAGGACCGUGUCAGCAAGCCCAUCGGUGUGGCCCUCACCCUGGGCUUUCUUGGCUGCAUUAUUGGCAUUGUUGCCCUUGCCUUCCUCUUUGCCUUCAUCAAGAGAAGGACAAAAGCACAUAAAAGAAAAACAGUGACUACUCAGAAAGAGGUCAUGAUGAGUGAAAGUAUAGGUCCUCUCUAGCAGAAAAGUCUGGAGCAGAUUUCUGGAGGAGACCGGACCCAUCCACCAACAAGGGACAUCCUCCUGCUUUCGAUGGCUAACGUCAUACCCUCUGUAUAAACACGAACAUCAGUACAACAUGCUAAAAUUGUCUGACAUUAUCCUGAGUCACAUGUUUCUCAUGCUUUGGGCAGGUUUUGUGGGACCUCAGUUAUUAUAGACUUCCAUGUUUUGCAUCCGCAUUUUUCACCUGUCUGAGCUAAGGUGACGUGUCAUCAACAGGACCAGCAGGUUCUGCAGCAGUGCUGAAAUUCCGCUUCCUUGAACACCCUAGGAAGUGCCUUCUGAAGGCAAACAAUUGUCUGUCUCUACAGGGGCUGGUUUUGGUUUUUACUUCACGCAGGUUUCGGUUGGUGUAGCUCCAGUCCUGCAAUAAGGCGGCUGAUGUGUAAAGAAUUACCACGGUGACCUGACUUUGGUUGACAUCUUAUAAUCCUGCAGUGUUACUCCUUUAAUGCUCAUUAAUGCAGCAAUUUUGUACACAUAAUUCGAUGUAACUGGCACCCUCAUUUCAAAUUUUAUUGCAAUAUUUUGAGGUUUUCACAUUUAUAAAUGGAUGUUUGUCUACCCAUUGUAUUUUAAUGAAUUUAUAGGUGUCAGCUUUCAUCACGUAACUUCACAGGACUCUCAACAACACAAAGAAGUCUGGAGAUCCAACUCUUAGUGUGUGCUGCUGUCAAGCUCGUCCACUGCACCUCAGAUUAUUAUUAUUAUGCUCUGUUUCAUGCAGGGUAAUAGUAUAGUUCAUGGGAAUUUUCUUCUCCACAGUUACGAUGGUGUAUGUGUGUGGGAGGGUAGGAAUAAACAUGUUUUGCUAAGUGUGCUGUCGUGUACGUGAUAUUCUGCCCUCCUGCCUAGUGUCUGAUUAAGAUGUUUGCUGUCCUGAAGGCUAUCAGAACUCUGACCUUACUACAGUCCCACAAACCAGAUUUGUCCUGUCAUGUCUGCCUGUGCUCUCUCUUCACCAUUUCUACAUUUUGUGAAAUUCCUUUUGAGGUGUUUUUAAAAAAAAGAAUUUCUCUUGGACAAAAUCCUGUCAACUUUUUUUUUUUUAUUGAGGGGGAUCCGUUGUGCUGUUUUUUUUUGUAAGGCUAGACAGAUAUUGUUGGGAUAAAUAAAUUACUUGCUUAAGUGGA